rnacentral:tRNA from 2 species
GGGCGGUUAGCUCAGCUGGUUAGAGCGCAGCGUUGACAUCGCUGAGGUCACUGGUUCGAGUCCAGUACCGCCCA